GACAACCCUCUCUUCUGGAGCAGCGGCUCUGGCUUGCCUCCCAAACACGACGCUACGAAUACGAAGGCAAGAACGGCGAGCAAUGGCGCUGCGGAUGACAGCAGGGGGCGCUCGGUGACGAAAGGUUCGUGGGUCGAUGCGGGUCGCCGCGGCGUGUGACUUCUGAGAGUGAGGCUGAGCAAGAAUGUGGCUCAUCAACAUUCUCCGCGAAUUUGACUGCAAUGAAGUAAGUCUCCUUUGAUGAAGCUUUCUCAAAUCUGUGUUCUGAAAGUAAGAUUGGCAGAAAUAAAGUAGACCACCGAAACGUUGGAGAUCUUCAGAAUUGUUGUGGCUUUUCGCCCAAACCCUUAGUACGUUGCUUCAUAUGUACCAACAUCAUUUGUAAAUAUCAAACUCCUUUUGUAUUGAACCUGUACUGGUCCAGUUUGUUGGUCCGCCAAGGCAAAUUAUUGCACAAUAUUGUGUCGUGAA